AGACGUAGGGGGCUAGCGUUGUCCGGAAUUACUGGGCGUAAAGAGCGUGUAGGCGGAUGUUUAAGUCAGGCGUGAAAGACCGGGGCUCAACCCCGGGGUUGCGUUUGAAACUGGGCAUCUUGAGGGCAGGAGAGGGAAGCGGAAUUCCUGGUGUAGCGGUGAAAUGCGUAGAUAUCAGGAGGAACACCAGUGGCGAAGGCGGCUUCCUGGACUGACCCUGACGCUGAGACGCGAAAGCGUGGGUAGCAAACAGGAUUAGAUACCCUGGUAGUCCACGCUGUAAACGAUGGGCACUAGGUGUGGGAGGUAUCGACCCCUUCUGUGCCGGAGUUAACGCAUUAAGUGCCCCGCCUGGGGAGUACAGUCGCAAGGCUGAA
rnacentral:rRNA from 1 species